UUUGCUUAGAGGGCAAAGAGGGAGGUGCUGCACACCAGAGUGACCGUAACACACUGGCAAGAGCAUCUGUGCCUUAUUGAUGCUAAAAGGAAUCCUACAGCUUCCUUGCUUGCUCCAGUAAAUCUGCAUCUGAGUUUUUAUUUUACUAUAAACUAGACUCCUAAAAGCUUUGGAGUGUCUAAUUAGAUUGGAAACUAGGCGCACACACAUUUCCUGGUGGGUUUUGUGCAUCUCCUGAUCUGUGUGUAUGUGCACAUGUAGAUAUGUGUGUUUUAUAUAUGUGUGUAUGUGUAACUAUACACACAAAACUCAUGAAGUAUCAUAGCUGAAAAAGAGAAGCAAGAAGUUGUUAAUCAAAAGAUUAAGAUGCACAGUAAGACUAUUUAAAAAGAGAAGAAAUUGGACGUUGCAUGUACACUCUUACAGUUAACAUGCUUAAAGGAUCUGUGACCUAAGGAUUGUCAGUGAUGAUUUCAAGUCAAGUUUUAAGAUACUAACAUGAAAAAUGUUAGUGGAAAACUUUCAGAAAUUACUAGCAAAUGGAAAAGCUUCAUUCUAACAACCCAAUUCGGGUUCCCAGUGAAGGGACCAAACACAAACCCCUAGGUGGCAUAAACCAGAUUUGUUUCAAAAGUGAUUAAAAGCGGAUGCUUCAUACACGAUUCAAAAGUAUGACACAAACCAUAGCUGGGACGGGCUUCUUUUUUUCCAAACUCAGUUUUCUCUCAAUAAAGGUUGCACUGCUGUUUUCUUUUACAAAAUUCAGCUUGUGAAUUUCCUCCAUCAGCUGAUUCUGCACUUCACAGAUGCUUGAGGAAGACAGCUGCAAACACAAAGCUACAAGCGACUGUAAAGUGCUGUGUGCAACUGCUGCUGGAAAGGAAUACUCCACAAGACCUAACUACAAUGUGUUUCAUAUGUAGAGUCUUGUCCAGUCACAGUCACCUAAAUGUGGCUCCAUUUCAGGAAAAGAUGCAAAGACCACCAUGGAUUGUUCAUUGAGAACAUCUGCUCAUUAUGCAAGCUUCUACAAAGGAGGAUGUCUUCCAUAGUGGAUGUGGUCACCACUGCAGUGAUAGAGGAAUUGCUUUUCUGCACUUUAUAGA